AUUGAACGUUGGCGGAAUGCUUUACACAUGCAAGUCGAACGGUAGAGGGGGCAACCCCUCGAGAGUGGCGAACGGGUGAGUAAUAUAUCGGAACGUGCCCAGUCGUGGGGGAUAACGUAGCGAAAGUUACGCUAAUACCGCAUACGAUCUAAGGAUGAAAGCGGGGGAUCGCAAGACCUCGCGCGAUUGGAGCGGCCGAUAUCAGAUUAGGUAGUAGGUGGGGUAAAGGCUCACCAAGCAAACGAUCUGUAGCUGGUCUGAGAGGACGACCAGCCACACUGGAACUGAAACACGGUCCAGACUCCUACGGGAGGCAGCAGUGGGGAAUUUUGGACAAUGGACGCAAGUCUGAUCCAGCCAUUCCGCGUGCAGGAUGAAGGCCCUCGGGUUGUAAACUGCUUUUGUACGGAACAAAAAGGUCUCUCUUAAUACGGGGGGCUCAUGACGGUACCGUAAGAAUAAGCACCGGCUAACUACGUGCCAGCAGCCGCCGUAA
rnacentral:rRNA from 1 species